AAGACAUCUGGAGAAGACACCAGUGAAGGCACCGCUGUGUUCGUGGACGACAACUUCAAGCCACGGCCUGAGUUCCUGGAAACCUGAAGCAGUCCUACUUUGCAGAUGGGUUCACUGUUGACUUUGCCAAUGCUGCAGACAGUGCCAAUACCAUCAACGAGUAUGUGAAAGGGAAGACCAAUGGGAAGAUAGAAGAUGUCAGCACCGGAUCCAAUGACAGUCAUGUAUCUCAUCAGCUACAUCUACUACAAAGGAAAGUGGGCGACUCCAUUUGAACCCGAGCUCACCAAGGAGGACACAUUCACAGUGGACGAGAACACCAAGGUUCAAGUCCAGAUGAUGAAUAAGGAG